GUGGGGAAUUUUGGACAAUGGGCGCAAGCCUGAUCCAGCAAUGCCGCGUGCAGGAAGAAGGCCUUCGGGUUGUAAACUGCUUUUGUACGGAACGAAACGGUCCUGGUUAAUACCUGGGGCUAAUGACGGUACCGUAAGAAUAAGCACCGGCUAACUACGUGCCAGCAGCCGCGGUAAUACGUAGGGUGCGAGCGUUAAUCGGAAUUACUGGGCGUAAAGCGUGCGCAGGCGGUGCUGUAAGACAGGCGUGAAAUCCCCGGGCUCAACCUGGGAAUUGCGCUUGUGACUGCAGUGCUGAAGUACGGCAGAGGGGGAUGGAAUUCCGCGUGUAGCAGUGAAAUGCGUAGAUAUGCGGAGGAACACCGAUGGCGAAGGCAGUCCCCUGGGCCUGUACUGACGCUCAUGCACGAAAGCGUGGGGAGCAAACAGGAUUAGAUACCCGAGUAGUCC
rnacentral:rRNA from 1 species